CCUACGGGAGGCAGCAGUGGGGAAUCUUGCGCAAUGGGCGAAAGCCUGACGCAGCCAUGCCGCGUGAAUGAUGAAGGUCUUAGGAUUGUAAAAUUCUUUCACCGGGGACGAUAAUGACGGUACCCGGAGAAGAAGCCCCGGCUAACUUCGUGCCAGCAGCCGCGGUAAUACGAAGGGGGCUAGCGUUGCUCGGAAUUACUGGGCGUAAAGGGAGCGUAGGCGGAUAGUUUAGUCAGAGGUGAAAGCCCAGGGCUCAACCUUGGAAUUGCCUUUGAUACUGGCUAUCUUGAGUAUGGGAGAGGUAUGCGGAACUCCGAGUGUAGAGGUGAAAUUCGUAGAUAUUCGGAAGAACACCAGUGGCGAAGGCGGCAUACUGGCCCAUUACUGACGCUGAGGCUCGAAAGCGUGGGGAGCAAACAGGAUUAGAUACCCUGGUAGUCCACGCUGUAAACGAUGAGUGCUAGUUGUCGGCAUGCAUGCAUGUCGGUGACGCAGCUACGCAUAAGCACUCCGCCGUGGGAGGUACGGUCGCGAGAUAAACUACAAGAAGUAGUAGCGUGAGAGAGCGACGACGACGACGACGGAGGAGGAGG
rnacentral:rRNA from 1 species